rnacentral:lncRNA from 1 species
GGAAUUGCUAUUCCAUUCCGUCUAUUCCGUGCGCUACAGAAAUUCACUUAUUUGGUUCACUGUUUAAGUGAUUCCGCAGAAUUCUAUUGCACUUUUAUUCCCUCAACUCUUGUAAUAGGAAUUCAGGGGUUGGGGGUCUGAAUUGCUAUUCAAAACCACCCGUAAUAACAUUUUUCUUUUUUGGACCAAAAUAGUCUGCCUCUCUUCUUCAUCAUUUUCACUUUCACUUCAGUAGAUUUCUUCCUCGACAUUUAUCCCCAAAGUGAACCCUAGAAAUUAGCUCCUUAAUCAACGAAAAAUCUAGCAUCCAUUCGUCAUCUUCAUCUUCCUUCUAGUUGAACCUCCUUAUUUACAGUAAGUGCCUUUGAUUCUUUUUUUUUCUCUGAUUUUUUUAGUUAAAGUUCUUUCACUUCUUUCAACUUUUCUUUUCCCCUUUCGUAUUUGGAUAUAAACUAGCAAAGCAAAUUGUAAAACCAGCAAAGCAAAUUAUUCUUGGAUGAUUCGGUGAUAAGCAGCUAUUUUGGUUCACCGAAUCCUCCAUUCGACAGAAUUUCAUUCAUCUCCCAUUCACAAAAUUGGUCGAUUGGUUGAUCCAAUUAUUUUAGGGCAAUUUAGGGUUAGAAAGCUAAGCUUUUUUUUUCGAAUUGUUGGGCAUUUAUGUUUAUUGUUAGGGAUUUUAGGUUGGAAUUUGUUGUUUGUGGUAAAUGGGUUGAUGGGGUUUUGGAUUUUGAGCUUUGAAUCAGUUACAGAGUUUUUGAGCAAGAAAAAGAAAACAAAGGCAGGGUAGAUGAGGAAUCUUUUUACUAGUAAAUUUGCCAUUGCUUUGGUUUUUUUUUUCAAUUUUGAUUCUGAAAUGUUGGGCUAGUUACAGUGUAAGCUGAACAAAGAAUUUCAGUUGAGAAAAUAAUUGAAGUUAAAUUAAAGAGAAAUUCGACAUAUGUGCUAAUACGCUUUGUUUAUUUUUGAAUCUUAAUGCUUAGAGAAUCAUAAUUUGCAUAGAGAUUUAGCUACUGCAUCAGGUUUUAGAUAAUGUUUUACUAGCAUCAUUAGGUUUUUGUUUAAUCUUAUCAAUUAAACAUUUGAUUGAUAAUUUUAUUUUUUGGGGAUUUUAAUUAAUUGGAUAUUGGGUUUGAACGUUUGAUUAGUUUAAUGUAGAUGUAGAAUAUGUGGAAAUAUUUGGUAACAGCUAUCCUGAAAUUUGAUGUAUCAAUCCUUUGUGAUGCUGAAUGGCCAAUGUUGGGAAUUAGGGUUUUGGGUCCUCUUUAGAAAUUAGAUAGAUUUCUUACCUUGCUGCUUGUCCCUAGUUCCGCCAAAAAAAUAUGACCCUAUGUUAGGCCUUUUAUGGAGUUUAGAUGGAAGUUUUAGAUGUUGCAAAAUUAGAUUGCUUUUGGUGCAAUGGUUCUUUUUACUGGAUUUUGUUUAAUGAUGCUUUAUUUGAUACAGUUUGAUGUACUUUUUAGAUCACAUGUUUCAAAUGAGAUGGAUCAGAGUAUUCAAAAGAAUACAGUGAGAUCAGGGUAAUUUUCAAACUGUGUUCUUAACCUUAAAUGCUACUUUUUCUUCCUCUUCUUUCUUUCUUUUUCUUAAAUUUUGUUAGUAUAAUGUUUUAAGUUGAAAGAAGUAAGAGCAUUUAUUUCUUUGUAUUUUCUGCCCUCUUGGAAUGUACCGUAUACAUUAUGUUGUUGUGGUGAACUUUAAAAUUUUAUUGGUGGAGUGUUUUGAAAACUAGGAGGAUAGAGGAUUGGUGGGAAGAAUGAUAGAAAAUGAGCGUAGUUUUUCAUUCAUAUGCUCUCUAGGAAUGAUUUAGAAGUGGAAUGCAAGAAAAUGAUAUACCUACUUAGUUUUUGUUUGUAAUCUUGCCAUCCUUUUUGUUUUGCUGGUUUAAAUAUUUAAGGUCUUAAGCUGCAAUUAGAAGAUGUCAUAGUUAUAAUUAAGAUGUCCUACUGCUGUAUCUUGAUUAAAAUGUAAGUAUUCAUGCUGUAAGUAUUUAUGUUGUCUUAAAACAUUAUCUGAAGUGGAUUAAUUGUUGUAAUUUAAACGAUCUUAAUAAUGAAAUUUUGGUAUCUUAAAAUGAUAAAUUGAGAGGAGUUAUAGCUGUAAUUUAUAGUGCUUGGGUGUCGUGGUUGAAAUGUAUAACUCUGGGAUUGAUAUUGAUGAUGUGCUGGUAAUGAAUAAAUCGAGUUUUAUUUGNNNN